rnacentral:rRNA from 1 species
GGACGAACGCUGGCGGCGUGCCUAAUACAUGCAAGUAGAACGCUGAAGAGAGGAGCUUGCUCUUCUUGGAUGAGUUGCGAACGGGUGAGUAACGCGUAGGUAACCUGCCUGGUAGCGGGGGAUAACUAUUGGAAACGAUAGCUAAUACCGCAUAACAACAGUUGUUGCAUGACAGCUGUUUAAAAGAUGCAAUUGCAUCACUACCAGAUGGACCUGCGUUGUAUUAGCUAGUUGGUGAGGUAACGGCUCACCAAGGCGACGAUACAUAGCCGACCUGAGAGGGUGAUCGGCCACACUGGGACUGAGACACGGCCCAGACUCCUACGGGAGGCAGCAGUAGGGAAUCUUCGGCAAUGGGGGGAACCCUGACCGAGCAACGCCGCGUGAGUGAAGAAGGUUUUCGGAUCGUAAAGCUCUGUUGUAAGAGAAGAACGGGUGUGAGAGUGGAAAGUUCACACUGUGACGGUAUCUUACCAGAAAGGGACGGCUAACUACGU